rnacentral:rRNA from 1 species
CCUUUGUACACACCGCCCGUCGCUACUACCGAUUGAAUGGCUCAGUGAGGCCUUCGGACUGGCCCAGGGAGGUCGGCAACGACCACCCAGGGCCGGAAAGUUGGUCAAACUCGGUCAUUUAGAGGAAGUAAAAGUCGUAACAAGGUCUCCGUAGGUGAACCUGCGGAGGGAUCAUUACUGAGUGAGGGCUUCGGUCCGACCUCCAACCCUUUGUGAACCAAACUUGUUGCUUCGGGGGCGACCCUGCCGCUUCGGCGGUGCGGCGCCCCCGGAGGCCAUUAAACACUGCAUCAUUGCGUCGGAGUUAAAGUAAAUUAAACAAAACUUUCAACAACGGAUCUCUUGGUUCCAGCAUCGAUGAAGAACGCAGCGAAAUGCGAUAAGUAAUGUGAAUUGCAGAAUUCAGUGAAUCAUCGAAUCUUUGAACGCACAUUGCGCCCUCUGGUAUUCCGGGGGGCAUGCCUGUUCGAGCGUCAUUUCACCACUCAAGCCUGGCUUGGUAUUGGGCGUCGCGGCUCCGCGCGCCUUAAAGUCUUCCGGCUGAGCUGUCCGUCUCUAAGCGUUGUGGCAACUAUUCGCUUCGGAGGUCGGGUGGCCGCGGCCGUUAAAUCUUUCACAAGGUUGACCUCGGAUCAGGUAGGGAUACCCGCUGAACUUAAGCAUAUCAAUAAGCGGAGGAAAAGAAACCAACAGGGAUUGCCCUAGUAACGGCGAGUGAAGCGGCAACAGCUCAAAUUUGA